rnacentral:rRNA from 1 species
ACGAACGCUGGCGGCGUGCUUAACACAUGCAAGUCGAACGGGCCCGCUCUCUUUUUUGGGGGUGGGUUGAGUGGCGAACGGGUGAGUAUCACGUGAGUAACCUGCCCCCUGCUCCUGGAUAACUGCUUGAAAGGGCGGCUAAUACGGGGUGUGCCGGCUGGUCCGCAUGGGCCUGGUCGGGAUAGUUUCAUCUUCGGGUGUUUCGGUGGGGGAUGGGCUCGCGGCCUAUCAGCUUGUUGGUGGGGUGAUGGCCCACCAAGGCGGUGACGGGUAGCCGGCCUGAGAGGGUGGGCGGCCACACUGGGACUGAGACACGGCCCAGACUCCUGCGGGAGGCAGCAGUGGGGGGUAUUGCGCAAUGGGCGGAAGCCUGAUGCAGCGACGUCGCGUGAGGGAUGGAGGCCUUCGGGUUGUGAACCUCUUUCUCCGGUGGUGAAGGCCCUGUCCGUUGCGGCGGGGUUGACGGUAGCCGGGUAUGAAGCGCCGGCUAACUACGUG